rnacentral:rRNA from 1 species
UGAAUACGAGAUGCUACGGCGUCGAAGCAGUCUAUGUCAUACUUCCAAGAAAAGCUUGCACUGUCAUAAACAAAUAAUGCCUGUACCAUAACCGACACAGGUGGGUAGGUAGAGUAUACUAAGGGGCGCGAGAUAACUCUCUCUGAGGAACUCGGCAAAAUGACUCCGUAACUUCGGGAGAAGGAGUGCCUUAUUUAUAAGGUUGCAAUAACAAGAUCCAAGCAACUGUUUACCAAAAACACAGGUCUCCGCUAAGUCGUAAGACGAUGUAUGGGGGCUGACGCCUGCCCAGUGCCAGAAGGUUAAAGAAGUUGGUUAGCAUCCGCGAAGCUGAUAACUGAAGCCCUGGUGAACGGCGGCCGUAACUAUAACGGUCCUAAGGUAGCGAAAUUCCUUGUCGGGUAAGUUCCGACCCGCACGAAAGGCGUAAUGAUUUGGAUACUGUCUCGGAGAGGGGCUCGGUGAAAUAGACUUGUCUGUGAAGAUGCGGACUACCUGCACCAGGACAGAAAGACCCUAUGAAGCUUUACUGUAACCUGAAAUUGAAAUUGGACUUUACUUGCGCAGUAUAGGUGGGAGGCGUUGAGAAUAUUCUUGCGGGAUUAUUGGAGCCAUCAGUGAGAUACCACUCUUGUAAUGUUAGAUUUCUAACUUUGUAUCAUUAUCUGGUCAAAGAACAGUUUCAGGCGGGCAGUUUGACUGGGGCGGUCGCCUCCUAAACGGUAACGGAGGCGCACAAAGGUUUCCUCUGAACGGGUAGAAAUCGUAUCUAGAGUGUAAAGGCAUAAGGAAGCUUGACUGUGAGACCUACAAGUCGAGCAGGGACGAAAGUCGGUCUUAGUGAUCUGACGGUGCUGAGUGGAAAGGCCGUCACUCAACGGAUAAAAGUUACUCUAGGAUAACAGGCUGAUCUCCCCCAAGAGUUCACAUCGACGGGGAGGUUUGGCACCUCGAUGUCGGCUCAUCGCAUCCUGGGGCGGUAGUACGUCCCAAGGGUUGGGCUGUUCGCCCAUGAAAGCGGUACGCGAGCUGGGUUCAGAACGUCGUGAGACAGUUCGGUCCAUAUCCGGUGUAGGCGUUAGAAUAUUGAGAGGAGCCUUCUUUAGUACGAGAGGACCGAGAAGGACAUACCUCUGGUGUACCAGUUAUCGUGCCAACGGUAAACGCUGGGUAGCUAUGUGUGGAGUGGAUAACCGCUGAAAGCAUCUAAGUGGGAAGCCCACCUCAAGAUAAG